UACGUAGGGGGCUAGCGUUGUCCGGAUUUAUUGGGCGUAAAGAGCGUGUAGGCGGCCAGGUAGGUCCGUUGUGAAAACUCGAGGCUCAACCUCGAGACGUCGGCGGAAACCCUCUGGCUAGAGUCCGGAAGAGGAGAGUGGAAUUCCUGGUGUAGCGGUGAAAUGCGCAGAUAUCAGGAAGAACACCCGUGGCGAAGGCGGCUCUCUGGGACGGUACUGACGCUGAGACGCGAAAGCGUGGGGGAGCAAACAGG
rnacentral:rRNA from 1 species